ACUUGAAUUGAAGAGUUUGAUCAUGGCUCAGAUUGAACGCUGGCGGCAGGCUUAACACAUGCAAGUCGAACGGUAACAUAAAGAAGCUUGCUUCUUUGAUGACGAG
rnacentral:rRNA from 1 species